rnacentral:miRNA from 1 species
UACCCUGUAGACUCGAAUUUGU